rnacentral:rRNA from 1 species
UACGGAGGGUGCGAGCGUUGCCCGGAUUUAUUGGGCGUAAAGAGCUCGUAGGCGGUUUGUCGCGUCUGCUGUGAAAACUCGGGGCUUAACCCCGGGCCUGCAGUGGGUACGGGCAGACUAGAGUGCGGUAGGGGAGACUGGAAUUCCUGGUGUAGCGGUGAAAUGCGCAGAUAUCAGGAGGAACACCGGUGGCGAAGGCGGGUCUCUGGGCCGUAACUGACGCUGAGGAGCGAAAGCGUGGGGAGCGAACAGG